CUUGCUGGACAGAAUAAAUCUCCCAGUCUUCCAACAGUUAACUGUGUACAGACUCAUCUUUUCAUGCCUUCACUCAUGCAGUGUGUCUCCUACCCGGAAUUCCUUCCCCAGUCCUUUUCCUAUCAUUGAAUUUUACAACCCUCGGCUCAAAUCCUUCCUGCAUGAGCUGACUGGCCCAGCCCAUACCUGUCUCUCUCCUCUCAUCUGUGUUUGAAUUAUUUUACUAGUACUUGAAUGAUGCUUUACGUUAUUAGCUCCCACCUACCCACCCCAAA
rnacentral:lncRNA from 10 species